AACCUUAUGGACCUGCGGGCGUAUACCUGCGGAAGGAUCAUUAUCGAGUUUUGACUGGGUUGUAGCUGGCCUUCCGAGGCAUGUGCACGCCCUGCUCAUCCACUCUACACCUGUGCACUUACUGUGGGUUUCAGACGGCGUAGCGAGCCUUUACGGGUUCGUGAAAGCGUCUGUGCCCGCGUUUAUUACAAACUCUUACAAGUAAAAGAAUGUGUAUUGCGAUAUAACGCAUCUAUAUAC
rnacentral:misc_RNA from 1 species